CACGUAGGGGGCAAGCGUUGUCCGGAUUUAUUGGGCGUAAAGAGCUCGUAGGUGGUUCGGUAAGUCAGGUGUGAAACCUCCAGGCUCAACCUGGAGACGCCACUUGAUACUGCUGUGACUGGAGUCCGGUAGGGGAGCGUGGAAUUCCUGGUGUAGCGGUGAAAUGCGCAGAUAUCAGGAGGAACACCGGUGGCGAAGGCGGUUCUCUGGGCAUGUCCUGACGCUGAGGAGCGAAAGUGUGGGGAGCGAACAGG
rnacentral:rRNA from 1 species